UUCGAUUCUGGCUCAGGACGAACGCUGGCGGCGUGCUUAACACAUGCAAGUCGAACGAAGCGGCAGUGAAGGAGGCUUCGGCCAAUGGAUCUGUCGACUUAGUGGCGGACGGGUGAGUAACGCGUGAGCAACCUGCCUUUCAGAGGGGGAUAACGUUUGGAAACGAACGCUAAUACCGCAUGAAGUAUCUUUGCUGCAUGACAGAGAUACCAAAGGAGCAAUCCGCUGAAAGAUGGGCUCGCGUCCGAUUAGAUAGUUGGUGGGGUAACGGCCUACCAAGUCGACGAUCGGUAGCCGGACUGAGAGGUUGAACGGCCACAUUGGGACUGAGACACGGUCCAGACUCCUACGGGAGGCAGCAGUGGGGAAUCUUCCGCAAUGGGCGAAAGCCCUGACGGAGCAACGCCGCGUGAAUGAUGAAGGCCUUCGGGUUGUAAAAUUCUGUCUUCAGGGAAGAAACAAAUGACGGUACCUGAGGAGGAAGCCCCGGCUAACUACGUGCCAGCCGCAGC
rnacentral:rRNA from 1 species